rnacentral:rRNA from 1 species
AUGGCCGCUGGCGACGGCGAGCCGGAGCCGGCGGUGCAGCAGCGCCCGCAGCUGCAGUCAAAGAACGUGUGCGUCGUGGGGGGCGGCAUGGCAGGCCUGGCGGCGGCGCGCGAGCUGCGGCGAGAGGGCCACGCGGUCACCGUCAUGGAGCAGAGCGGCGACGUCGGCGGGCAGUGGCUGUACGACCCGGCGCCCACCCGCGGCCUCGUGCCCAGCGCCAGCAGCGCGUACGCGUCCCUCCGCCUCCGCACCCCGCGGGAGGCCAUGGGCUUCUCCGACUUCCAGCUCCUUCCCAGGGACGGCGCCGGCCGCGACCCGCGCCGCUUCCCCGGCCACCGCGAGGUGCACUGCUACCUCCGGGACUUCUGCGCCGCGUUCGGGCUCAUGGACGCCGUCAGGCUCAACACCCGGGUCGUCCGCGUCGCUCCGACGUCGACGGCGACGCGUCAGUGGGCGGUGAGGUCCGUGCGGCGCCUUGGCGGCCCGGAGGAUGGUGCGCGGGCAGAGGAGGAGGAGGAGGAGGCAGUGUUUGACGCGGUGGUCGUGGCCACCGGUCAGUACUCGCAUCCGGUGCUCCCCAGCGGCAUCGAGGGAGCGGGGGAAUGGAGGCGCCGGCAGCUGCACAGCCACUUGUACAGGACGCCGGAGCCGUUCCGCGGCGAGGCGGUGGUGGUGGUCGGCUGCGGGGACAGCGGCACGGACAUCGCGCUGGACCUCCGCCGCGUCGCCAGGGUGGUGCACCUCGCCGCCGGCUCCGAGGCCUCCACGCCGGCCGUGUCGAGGAUGGUGGCCAACCACGGCGACGUGCUACGCCUCCACCCGCGGGCACGCCGGCUGCACGCCGACGGUCGCGUGUCGUUCGACGACGGCUCCUCCGUCGUCGCCGACACGGUGAUCUACUGCACGGGGUACGGCUACUCGUUCCCGUUCCUGGACACGGGCGGGGCGGUCGCCGUGGGCGACGGCGGCUGCGUGGUCGGGCCGCUGUUCGAGCACGUGUUCCCGCCGUCCCUGGCGCCGUCGCUCUCCUUCGUGGGCGUGCCGAGGAAGGUCCUGGUGCCGUGGUUCGUCGAGGCGCAGGCGAGGUGGGUCGCGCAGGCGCUGUCCGGCCGCCGCGCGCUGCCGCCGGAGGCGGAGAUGGUGCGGGCCGUGGAGGAGCACCUCCGCGCCAGGGAGGCCGCCGGCGUGCCGAGGAAACACGCCCACCACCACAUCAACGGCAUUGACAAAAUGAUCGAGUUCAUGGAGGAGCACGGCGGCCUGACGCCGAUGGAGGAGUGGAAGGAGGAGCUGCUCCUGUCGAGCGUGGCGAGCAUGUGCGACGACCUGGAGACCUUCCGCGACCGCGCCGACGACGGCGAGAGCGUCCGGAAGGGCCUGCAGGGAUGGCGCGGCGGCUUAGCUGCUCAGGCUCAACACGAAGCCAUGGAUGCUGCUGCUGAAGCUGAAGCUGAUGGGUUGGCCAUGGAUGAUUAA